rnacentral:rRNA from 1 species
CCCUUAGAUGUUCUGGGCCGCACGCGCGCUACACUGAUCGGUGCAACAAGCAUCCGUCCUUGGCCGACAGGCCCGGGCAAUCUUUGAACGCCGGUCGUGAUGGGGAUAGACCUUUGCAAUUUUUGGUCUUCAACGAGGAAUUCCUAGUAAACGCAAGUCAUCAACUUGCAUUGAUUACGUCCCUGCCCUUUGUACACACCGCCCGUCGCACCUACCGAUUGAAUGGUCCGGUGAAACCUCCGGAUUGGCGCGCACCUCGGUGCCGCCGAGAAGUUGGCUAAACCUUACCAUUUAGAGGAAGGUGAAGUCGUAACA